rnacentral:rRNA from 1 species
AUUGAACGCUGGCGGCAGGCCUAACACAUGCAAGUCGAGCGAGCGGCGGACGGGUGAGUAAUGUCUGGGAAACUGCCCGAUGGAGGGGGAUAACUACUGGAAACGGUAGCUAAUACCGCAUACCAUCAGAUGUGCCCAGAUGGGAUUAGCUAGUAGGUGGGGUAACGGCUCACCUAGGCGACGAUCCCUAGCUGGUCUGAGAGGAUGACCAGCCACACUGGAACUGAGACACGGGCCAGACGCCUACGGGAGGCAGCAGUGGGGAAUAUUGGACAAGGGGCGCAAGCCUGAUGCAGCCAUGCCGCGUGUGUGAAGAAGGCCUUGGGGUUGUAAAGCACUUUCAGGCGGGAGGCGUUACCCGCAGAAGAAGCACCGGCUAACUCCGUGCCAGCAGCCGGGGUAAUUC